CGCAAAAUCGGGUAAGUUCGUCAUGUAUCUAAUCCCACCUAGAUAUUUCUACAAUUGGUCCAAUUGUCUCUUGAGCAUUCCUGCUUCUUUCUUUGGAGGUCGAUUGAAUUGUCUUGUAUCUUGUUCUUUUUUUAAAUACUUGAACUUCUAAGGUCUCGUCGUUGCAGUAGACCAAUUAGUUAACAUACCAUCAAGCCAUUUUCUAUUUACAUAAUGACAUCGAGCUUCUGUAGCAGCUGAUGCUACUAAAUUAGAUGCUUGAUAUUUCAUGAUGAAUAUCAGGAAUUGUGUUCCCCUACCUGCUAUAUCAAAUGCCAAAUCACAAGCUUCUGAUAAAGAACAAGCAAUUUUAGCCAGAUUUAUAAUACGAGUAUCUUUACGCUUUGUAAAAAUGCAAGGUACUCCGAGUAGCAUGGGGCACGUGGAAUCCCAUGUGAAUCAGCAAGGACCAUAUUGCAAGGCUAAAUACUCCUGGGUGACCAAUAGUGAAGUAGUACAGUGAGGGAAAGGUGAAAAGAACCCUCAUCGGGGUGUGAAAUAGAACAUGAAACCGUAAGCUCCCAAGAAGUGGGAGGAAAAUGAUAUCUCUGACCGCGUGCCUAUUGAAGAAUGAUUUGGUGACUUAUAGGUAGUGGCUUGGUUAAGGGAACCCACCAGAGACGUAGCGAGAGUGAGUCUUAAUGGGGAAAUUGUCACUACUUGUGGACCCGAACCUGGGUGAUCUAUUCAUGACCAGGAUGAAGCUUGGGUUAAACUAAGUGGAGGUCCGAACCGACUGAUGUUGAAAAAUCAUCGGAUGAGACAUGGUUAGGGGUGAAAUGAGACUCGAACCCAGAGCUAGUUGGUUCUCCCCAAAAUGUGUUGAGGCACAACAGUUGACUAGACCAUCUAGGGGUAAAGCAUUGUUUCGGUACGGGUCGCGAGAGCGAUACCAAAUCGAGGCAAACUCUGAAUACUAGUUUGCCCCAAUAAAAGGGGUAAAGGUCAGCCAAUGAGAUGAUGGGGGAUAAGCUUCAUCAUCGAGAGGGGAACAACCCAUAUCAUCAGCUAACGCCCCUAAAUGACCGUUCAGUGAUGAAUGAAGUAGGAGUGCAAAGAUAGCCAUGAGGUUUUCCUAGAAGCAACCUACCUUGAAAGAGUGCGUAAUAGGUCACUAAUCGAGUGAUCUUGUGCCAAAGAUGAACAAGACUAAGUGAUAUGCCAAAUAUGUGGGAUGUAAAAAUAUAUUGGUAGGGGAGAGUUCUGCCUCGGAGGGAAGCACUGACGUGAGCAGGUGUGGACGAAGUGGAAGAAAGAAUGUCGGCUUGAGUAACACAAACAUUGGUGAGAAUCCAAUGCCCCAAAAACCUAAGGGUUCCUUCGCAAGGUUCGUCCAUGGAGGGUGAUUCAGGGCCUAAGAUCAAGCUGAAAGGCAUAGUGGAUGGACAAUAGGUAAAUAUUCAUGUACUAGCCCUUAUUGGUCCCAAGGGACAGAGGAGGCUAGGUUAGCUGAAAGAUGGUUAUCAGUUCAAGGGCGCAAGGUGACCCUGCUUUUUUCAGGGUAAGAAGGGGUAGAUAAAAUUCUUCGAUCCAAUGUCCGAGUACCAAGCACUACAAUGCUGAAGUAACCCAUGCCAUACUCCCAAGAAAAGCUCGAAUGAACUUUAACAAAUGGGUACAUGUACCCGAAACUGACACAGGUAGGUAGGUAGAGAAUACCUAGGGGUGCGAGACAACUCUCUCUGAGGAACUCAAAAAAAUAGCCCUGUAACUUCAGGAGAAGGGGUGCCUCCUUAGGGGGUCGUAGUGACCAGGCUCAGGCGACUGUUUACCAAAAACACAGGUCUCCACAAAGUUGUAAGACCAUGUAUGGCGGCUUAUGCCUACCUAGUGCUGGAAGGUUAAGGAAGUUGGUGACCUGAUGAUGGGAAGCCAGUGACUGAAGCCCUAGUGAACGAUGGUCAUAACUAUAACGGUCCUAAGGUAGAGAAAUUCCUUCUCGGGUAAGUUCUGAUCUGCACGAAAGGUGUAACGAUCUGGGCACUGUCUCGGAGAGAGACUCGAUGAAAUAGACACAUCUGUGAAGAUCCAGACUACUUGCACCUAAACAGAAAGACCCUAUGAAUCUUUACUAUUCCCGAGGAUUGUCUUUGGGUUCUUCUUGUGCAGCUUAGGUAGAAAGUGAACAAGGCUCCCUUCUGGGGGGGCUUGAGCCACCAGUGAGAUACCACUCUGGAAGACCUAGAAUUCUAACCUUGUGUCAGGACCUAUGGGCCAAGGGACAAUCUCAGGUAGACAGUUUCUAUGGGGCGUAGGCCUCCCAAAAGGUAACGGAGGAGUGCAAAGGUUUCCUCGGGCCAGACGGAAAUUGGCCCUUGAGUGCAAAGGUAGAAGGGAUCUUGACUGCAACACCCACCCGUCGAGCAGGGACAAAAUUCGGCCUUAGUAAUCCAACGGUGUCGAGUGGAAGGGUCGUCUCUUAACCGAUAAAAUUUACUCUAGGGCUAAUAGGUUGAUCUUCCCUAAGAGUUCACAUCAACGAGAAGGUUUGGCACCUUGAUGUCGGCUCUUCGCCACCUAGGGCGGUAGUACAUUCCAAGGGUUGGGUUGUUCACCCAUUAAAGCAGUACAUGAAAUGGAUUUAGAACUUCGUGACAUAGUUUGGUCCAUAUCUAGUGGGGGCAUUAGAGCAUUGAGAGGACCUUUCCCUAGUACAAGAGGACUGGGAAGGACGCACCUCUGGUGUACCAAUUAUCUUUCCCAUGGUAGACAUUAGGUAACAAAGUGCAGACUGGAUAACUACUGAAAGCAUAUAAGUAGGAAGCCCACCCCAAGAUGAGUUCUCUCUUACUCUUACUUCCCUGAGAGACCUAGUCGUGAACACGGCUAGGACAAUGACGAGUUCUCUGUCCUUGCAGGGGAUGGAGCGACAAAAGUAUUGAUAAUACAAGAUAAGGUCACAGUGAGGCGAGUCAUUUGUCAUUAGGAUAGGUGUCAAGUGGAAGUGCAGUGAUGUAUGUAGUUGAGGCAUCCUAACAGACCAAGAGAUUUGAAC
rnacentral:rRNA from 1 species